rnacentral:rRNA from 1 species
CCUACGGGGGGCUGCAGUGGGGAAUAUUGCACAAUGGGGGAAACCCUGAUGCAGCGACGCCGCGUGAGUGAAGAAGUAAUUCGUUAUGUAAAGCUCUAUCAGCAGGGAAGAAAAUGACGGUACCUGAGUAAGAAGCCCCGGCUAACUACGUGCCAGCAGCCGCGGUACUACGUAGGGGGCAAGCGUUAUCCGGAUUUACGGGGGUUAAAGGGAGCGUAGACGGCAGUGCAAGUCUGGAGUGAAAGGCGGGGGCUCAACCCCCGGACUGCUCUGGAAACUGUACGGCGGGAGUGCGGGAGAGGGAAGUGGAAUUCCUAGUGUAGCGGUGAAAUGCGUAGAUAGUAGGAGGAACACCAGUGGCGAAGGCGGCUUACUGGACUGUAACUGACGUUGAGGCUCGAAAGCGUGGGGAUCAAACAGGAGUAGAUACCCGUGUAGUC